rnacentral:rRNA from 1 species
UAACACGUGGGGAACCUGCCCCAUAGUCUGGGAUACCACUUGGAAACAGGUGCUAAUACCGGAUAAGAAAGCAGAUCGCAUGAUCAGCUUUUAAAAGGCGGCGUAAGCUGUCGCUAUGGGAUGGCCCCGCGGUGCAUUAGUUAGUUGGUAAGGUAAAGGCUUACCAAGGCGAUGAUGCAUAGCCGAGUUGAGAGACUGAUCGGCCACAUUGGGACUGAGACACGGCCCAAACUCCUACGGGAGCAGCAGCC